rnacentral:lncRNA from 1 species
AGACACCUUUUCAGUUCUUGUCAAAACACAUUCUCUGGUCGACCAUGGAUAAACGCCUUCUCUUUUUGGUUGUCGUGUUGUCUAUGCUAUUGGCGGCGGUGGUUGUAGCAAGAGCAGAGCCUAUAGCAUAUAAAGAAUACACGGGGCCUGUAGCAAGAUCAGAUCAGAGCCUAUAGCAAGAUCAGAGCCUACGCCAAAAUCAGUGCCUGGACCAAAAAAAAAAAAAAAAAAAAAAAAGAUUGAGUAUCGGUUUAACAGCCCUCCACCACAGCCUUGUUCCGUCACCAGGUCAAAGGGAAUAGGGAAUAUACUUUACAGAAUGCGAAUGAUGGUGGCAGUGAGAGGAGAGCGAAGUUGCUAAUAUUACUGCAGAAACGAA